rnacentral:tRNA from 1 species
GGUUAUCUAGCGAAAUGGCAAAGCGCCGGCCUUAUAAGCCGGAGUUGCAGGUUCGACUCCUGCGAAUCCG